rnacentral:rRNA from 1 species
AUGGAUAUUGAAGGUCGCAACCCAAUGGCCUUGGUGACAGUCAGAUCUGGGGUGAUAAAUGAGACUCAACUGCUGGAGGGUUUUAAUUACAUGUUCAAUUGGAAUUGGCAGUGGAGAUAUAAGAAACAAGGAAGCAAUGCAUUUCUGAUGAGAUUUCCAAACAAAGGAAGAUUAAUGGAACUAAUCAACUAUGAUGAUUUCACUCUCUUUGGCACUAGAGCAGUGGUGAAUGUCAAGAAAUGGGCCUUUGACUCUCAGGCAGUAGGGAAAUUGCAUACAGCUUGGGUGACAUUUGGAAAAGUCCCUGAAUGCUUCAGACACUUCUUUGGGAUGUGUGAGGUGGCAGCAUCUUUAGUUCCAGUGUUGGAAAUUGACAUGGGCACCAAACUUUGA